rnacentral:RNase_MRP_RNA from 1 species
GGGCAUUCAGAACACUUGCAAUCUGGGCUACACACUGAGAACCAGUUUCUCCUCCAUCGCCCAGGGGAAAGUCCCCGGACCCGUGGCAGAAAGUGUCCUGGUUGAAGCCAGCGUCGGCCUGCGCUGCACCGCGAUGAGCUGAGACGUUCACCGCGAACUGAGCUCGGUGGUCGCAGGUCGACUUUGUCAGCGUUAAUAGUAAUGCAAGUAAGCAGCUACUUAACAGAACGGGGCUCAUUCUCGGAAUGCU